rnacentral:rRNA from 1 species
UACGAAGGGGGCUAGCGUUGCUCGGAAUCACUGGGCGUAAAGCGCACGUAGGCGGAUUGUUAAGUCAGGGGUGAAAUCCUGGAGCUCAACUCCAGAACUGCCCUUGAUACUGGCGAUCUCGAGUUCGGGAGAGGUGAGUGGAACUGCGAGUGUAGAGGUGAAAUUCGUAGAUAUUCGCAAGAACACCAGUGGCGAAGGCGGCU